UACAGAGGGCUCGAGCGUUGUUCGGAUUCAUUGGGCGUAAAGGGUGCGUAGGCGGCGCGGUAAGUCGGGUGUGAAAUCUCGGAGCUUAACUCCGAAACUGCAUUCGAUACUGCCGUGCUUGAGGACUGUAGAGGAGACUGGAAUUGACGGUGUAGCGGUGAAAUGCGUAGAUAUCGUAAGGAAGACCAGUGGCGAAGGCGGGUCUCUGGACAGUUCCUGACGCUGAGGCACGAAGGCCAGGGGAGCAAACGGG
rnacentral:rRNA from 1 species